rnacentral:rRNA from 1 species
AGGCAGCAGUGAGGAAUAUUGGUCAAUGGGCGCAAGCCUGAACCAGCCAUCCCGCGUGAAGGAAGACGGCCCUAUGGGUUGUAAACUUCUUUUCUGCACCAAGAAUGGGCACUACGUGUAGUGUUUUGACGGUAGUGCAGGAAUAAGCAUCGGCUAACUCC